CAUAAGGUAAAUAAAUAAUUAAAUUUGUGUAUUAUGUUGAAGCUUUUCUGUUGAAAAGACAACAUAUGCUCAUCUUAUACUAGACGUUGUUAAUUCUAAUUUUCCAUUUGGAUCUUUACCUUUUAAUUGGUUUUAUAUAAUUGAAGGAUUUACAGAAGAAGAAAUGGCAACAAACAAGUUUUCAUCUCAUUUGUUAUUUUCAUUGAUGGUAUCUACGCUUAUCCUUUUACCAAUGGCUUCAGGAAAAAUCCGUGUAUGUCCGGAAAGAAGACCACCUUGUAAGGCCAGCAAAGCAUGUAUACAAAACUGUAAAAAAUUUGGGUACAGAACAGGAGGCUGUGAAGAAAUAUAUGCCGAUGUAUAUUGUUGUUGUGUAGACAAAUUGAAAUCUCAGGAUAAUCCUCAUUCACCUAGUGCAGUCUCAACUAAUUAACCUCUCAUUUAUACACAUUUAUAUGACUAAAAAUAUUUUUAUAUGAAUAAAAAUAUAUUUAUAUGUGAUUGAUCUA